AGAAACUUGUUUGUAUCAUAAGGUGUUUCAUUACACAAAGCAUUUUCAUUACAUAAAGCAUUUUCAUUACAAGCAUAAGUAAGUCCUAUACAAAUUUCCACCUUGUUACAUUCAUGUUACAUGACAUUUUCCCACAUACAUACACAAAAUACCCAAUUCAAAAUUCCAUUUACAAACUCAUUUAACCAUUCAAUCUCAAUUCCAAUCACAUUCAAUUUCCAUUAUCUCAUUACAAUCAUAAACCAAAUUCCAAUUACAUUACAUAUAUCUCUAACUCAACUUCAAACCACACGAGUUACAAAAAUUACAACAUUACAAAGCUAGAUCCAAAGCCCUGCGUUUUUCAUGAAACAAUCACCAUAAGCAUAGUCCAUAGCAUUCCAAUUCGUCACCAUGACAUGUCCACCUGCAAUACCAAUGUAAACCAAGCCAUUCAGUCCACUUGCAACAGAGAAAAGGCCAAUAAAAACAAUUCAUCUGAUUUUUCAUGACAGGAACAUUUUUCAUUAAAAAUUCAACUCACCCCUUCAUUUUCAUUCUAACUCAGAACUCAUUAACAAACUUCUCAAAAAACAAACUACCUCACAACAGGAGAACUCAUAGCAAAAAAGAGGCGACAAACAAAUUAGAAAAGGGGAGAGAAGCAUUGCAAUUGAGAAAAUAAAAACGCUAUCUCACCUUUUCGCCACUCAAUCUUCUUCAUUCCUCAGGCUUGAAAUCAUCAUUGAAUCGAUUCUUGAACAAACCAUCCACAACCAUCUUUGCUCCCUCUGAUUCCUCCUUCAAGAGAUCCGGCCAACCGCCACUCGACCUACUUCGGUUCCACUAGGUCAUGUCGUCGUUGUUGCUUUCAAGUUCCCAGCGACUUCCCACUGGUGCUAAGUUUCCAACGAUGCUCCUUGAACAACAUUGAUGACAAAGCUUCUUUUGGUUUUCAGAAUCGAAAGGGAGACGAUGGAUGUGAGGGGAGACGUAUAUCGAGCGUUCCAUUUGGCUUGAAGGUGAGAACUUCGGUUUCGGUCAUGUGGGUAUUGAACCCGUUCUUGGAUAUUUUUGGUAAGACUUGGGCCUUUGGCCCAAGCAAACAAACACUUGUUUGUCUUCAUCCCCCAUCCGUUUUUCACCUCUGUUCAUGAUUAAGUUGGAUAAUCUCCAUUAAUCUCUUGAGUAGUCC
rnacentral:lncRNA from 1 species